rnacentral:rRNA from 1 species
UGAAACACGGACCAAGGAGUCUAACAUGUACGCAAGUCAUUGGGUUGCAAAACCCACUGGCGCAAUGAAAGUGAAGGUCAAUUCAGUUGGCCGAGGUAGGAUCCCUAGUUUACUGGGGCGCACUACCGUCCCAUCGCAUCUGCUUGCCAGAGCGGUGGAGACAGAGCGUACACGUUGGGACCCGAAAGAUGGUGAACUAUGCCUGAGCAGGAUGAAGCCAGAGGAAACUCUGGUGGAGGUCCGUAGCGGUUCUGACGUGCAAAUCGAUCGUCAGACUUGGGUAUAGGGGCGAAAGACUAAUCGAACCAUCUAGUAGCUGGUUCCCUCCGAAGUUUCCCUCAGGAUAGCUGGCACUUAGAACGCAGUUUUACCCGGUAAAGCGAAUGAUUAGAGGCCUUGGGGACGAAACGACCUCAACCUAUUCUCAAACUUUAAAUGGGUAAGAAGUCUCGCUUGCCUGACCGAAGCUCAGACAUUGAAUGCGAGUGCCAAGUGGGCCAUUUUUGGUAAGCA